rnacentral:rRNA from 1 species
AUACGUAGGGAGCGAGCGUUGUCCGGAAUUACUGGGCGUAAAGGGCGCGUAGGCGGCGCUUCAAGUCGUCUGUCAAAUGGAAGGGCUUAACCCUUUUUCGCAGACGAAACUGGAGAGCUUGAGAAGCAGAGAGGCAAACAGAAUUCCUGGUGUAGCGGUGAAAUGCGUAGAUAUCAGGAAGAAUACCAGUGGCGAAGGCGGUUUGCUGGCUGCAUACUGACGCUGAAGCGCGAAAGCCAGGGGAGCGAACGGGAUUAGAUACCCCGGUAGUCCUGGCAGUAAACGAUGUAUGCUGGGUGUGAGACUAGCGAUAGUUUCGUGCCGAAGUUAACGCGAUAAGCAUACCGCCUGGGGAGUACGGUCGCAAGAUUGAAACUCAAAUGAAUUGGCGGG